UUAAGAGAUAUGUGACCUUAAGACUGCCUCUCUUGGGGUCUCUUAAGGAGCUUUUAGGUGGUUUUUUUGGCUUUAUUGAGGUAGUGCUUUUUCGUGGGUGUUACCUUCACCAAUUAGUGAUUUUAAUCCAUAACAUUCUUAUAAUGUUAGUUAUGCGUUGCACAUCGAUUGGGCAGAGAAGUGCAUGUGGUUAAGCAAAUACAUCGCGAGCAAGAGAAAAAAGUGGAAGACACUACUUUAUAUGUUUUAUUACUUUACUUUGGUACUAAGAUUUAGAUUUUUCGUCAUGUAAUGGUAUGAGUAUUAAACUGUUUCACUAUUUAGAUUGCAAGAUUGACGUAAUGUAUGUCUCAUUCUUUUUAAAUAUGAACUUUGCGAAUGAUUUUUUAAUGUUUAAUAUUUGUCCUAAUUAGUUAUAGCAACACAAUUUGAAUUUUUUUCAAUAAUUUCGCACGCAUCACGUGCAUAUAAGACUAGUAGUAAUCUCUAUUAUAUAAAGGAACAGCUGAGGGUAUUUUGGUAACUCAACUUUUCGUGUCCCCAAGCAAAAAGACGAAAAUACCCCUCAUUGGUUGUUUAUCGGGGCUUGCUGAGCCUUCGUUUCUAGGGCGAGGUUUCGUUUAUCCCAUCUCUCUCCUCUCACCUGCCCCUCUCUCUCUCUCCCUCUCACUUUUCUCUCUCCUCUCACCUUCGUUUCUAGGUUAGACUUCCUAGGUUACACUUCCUCGCCGUCGUCCCUCUUUAAUGGCGACUCUGAGGUCAAUCGGAGGGAAAUGCAGAGCUCUAUUGGCGGCAGCAAAUUCCUUCACCACCGCAUCAACGACCGCUACUGGUGCUGCAAAAAGAUCGAAGCCUCCUUUCUGCAAAAAUAAUAGAGGUAUUUUGGUCUCUCCCACCCUCAGCGACUUGGAACUACAUCAAGCUUCAUAAUCUUCAGGGAAGAAAUGUACGACAUUUUCGGGAAUUAGGGAUCAAUUCGCCAAAUUCGUGAAAAAUACUCAGAAGAUCACCACCUGAAGAAUAAGAUCGAGCUCCUUAGCACACCGAUGAUGUCCUCAAGGUUUAACACUUUCAAAAGAAUCUGGAACUGAAGCAAAGCCAGAUCGGUAUAGCAGCCUCAAUGACUGCAAAUUAGAGGAUUGUCCAUGUGUGAACGGAAUCUGCCAGUGUCAUUAAAUGAGGGUGGCAGAAGAAGCUUAUUCAAAGAUACCAGCUCAACUAAAUGACAAUGCCAGACUUCAAUGUUAUGGAGACUGUAAAUGCAAACAAACUGAAGUUCAAGUAUGAUGCAGCAUAAAUCGCACAUCAGUGCUGGCGUGACAUUGUUGGAAAAAUGCAUGGACAACCUAGAAACCCUUCAAAGCCCGAAGAUGAAGCCGCUUCUGCUGCCAAAACCGCUCAAUAACGCACUCUUCAAUCCCAAUUUAUCAACUAUCAUCACAAUCUAAAUUACGCCAAAGAAGCUGUAGAAAUCAGCGCAAAGCUUCUUGAGAUUAAUCCAGAAUUCUCCACUGCCUGGAACUAUUGGAAACUUGCUGUUGAGCAUUUUCUGAUCCUGUCUCUAUUUUGAAUGAGGAACUCCGCGUUAAAGAAGAAAAUAUCGAGUGGACUGAGACGAUGUCUCAGAGCUUUAAGUUGAUGGACAACGAGGUAGGAGAGAGAUCAAAGAACAACGCCGGCCCUACGACGUCAAUGAGCUGUCGUGAGUAUCAAACACCUCAGUGCGACGCCGUGGGAUCUACCACCGUUGUCUCUGCUGUAACCCCGGAGAAAAUCGUCGUAUCUAAUUACGGCGAUUCACGCAAUGUCCUUUGCCGUAAAGGCGUCGCAAUUCCUCUAUCUUCCGAUCAUAAGGUCAAAGUUGAAGGAUGAUUCUGUUAUAUUUUUUUGAGAGAAUAUCAUGUGAGGAAUCGGAAAAAGUUGAGGCGAUUAGCUUCGACAAGAGCAGUGAUACGACACCCUGUCAACUCAUCGCUCGAUGCUUAUGGUUUUUGUUGUUGCUCAAUACCGUGAGACAGCAGCAGAACACUGCAGCAAUAGAGUGAAUCAAAUUCAUAGGAUUCAGUCAAGAGAAACCAAGGACAGGUUAGGAAAGUAGCAGUUGCUGUGUUCUGCUGCAGUGUUCUGCUGAUGUCUUAGCAUAAAGGCAUAUCCAAUGCAGCUCCUGCUGAUAAUCCAUUUUGUUCUUACCUAUACUUACAUCUCAUUCUGAGAUUGAAGUGGUCAUGGAUAUCAAAGAACCCAUGAUUCAUGAUUAUAUUGCCAAUCUUCGGUUCUCUAUAUCACCUACUACAUUCUUUCAGGUUAAAUUUGAGCUGCAAAGAAGACAUAUUCUUUUGCAGGAGACUGGCUGGUCUAAAUCUAGAUACUUUACUUUUUGAUAUAUGUUGUUGGACUGGCACAAUAUUACCAUAAUGUUGUUGGACUUCUUUUAUAUGUUGUUGGACUUCUUUUAUUUUUUGGACCCUUCUUUUAUAUGUUGUUGGACUUCUUUUAUUUUUUUGUUCCAAUAUCAUAAUGUUAGAAUGAAAGAAAUUGCUUGAUAGCCAAUGCUAUUAGAAUAUGUAUUUAGUUGUAUUUAGUUGAGAUUAUGAGAU